rnacentral:snoRNA from 1 species
AGAUUGUGUGUUGACAUCAGCUUCGUCUCUAUUAACCGUGGGAUGGGAGUUAAAUGACAGCACGAAAUUC